CCGAGGCCCUGGGGGAUGAGGUAGUAGAUUGUAUAGUUUUAGGGUCACACCCGGUCUCGGAGAUAACUAUACAGUCUACUGUCUUUCCCG
ensembl:miRNA